UCGUAUUUAUCUGUUUCAUUUCUUUUCUUCUUUUUUUCUCUCUCUCUCUAAACCGUAGGGUAUUGAUGAAGGAGAAGUUGAUGGAGAUGCUAUUUUGAGCUGAAGGAAGGGCUUUUUUGCAGGAAAUCUGCUUAUGGAGAAGAAGUUGAGUGGCUGCAAAGGGGAAGUGGUGAGGCAGAAUUUCAGAAUUGAAGUUCUUGCUGUUGGAGCUACCGAGCAAGGGAAAACCAGCUGGUGAAGCCUCCGAAUUGAGGUUUGACGUGCUCGAAAGCUUAAAUUGGUAUUCCGACGAACCUACGACGCGCUAAUUAGGAAACGCUUCAUUCUAGCCUCGUUUGCAUUGAGUUGCGAGAGCUAGUUGUUUAUAUACUCCGAGACGUUGGUUCUAACCUUUCGGCAUCCCUACAGACCUAGUGGGUGAGUCGGCGAGGUCGGCGGCCAAAUCCACUGAAAACUUUUAGUAGUUCUCACACCACUAACCAUGCAAGUCUUAGAGCGAGCGGAGCGGUCGAGAAUCGUGGCAAGAGCGUUGCACCUUAGUUAGUGGACUCCCGAGUAUAGCUGUGUACCCUUUUGGCUUUCACAUGGUAUAUAUGAUGAAAAGGAAAACAUGUAAAAUGAUGUAUAAAUGAGCAUGUAAAUGAUGUAAAUAACUAAAUGUAGUAGUUAUCCAGCUUUGUAUUUUGUUUAGAGCUUGCAAGAUACAAUGAAUGCA